AGGUUCCUUCACAGAGCACUGUGGGCUGGGUGUGGCUGUUCAUAAGGUUUCACAGACCACAUCCUCUAUUCAGAUUAGGCACUCAACAAGAAAGAAACUCCCAUCUGCAUACUAGCUUCAGAAAUGGCAAACCUGGAAUUUCAGACUUCAGCAGCAGUGAAACUCUGAUGGAAGAUAUGGAUCCAAUUUCCAUGUAGGAAACAUUGUGCUGGAGGAUACCCUCCUCCCACCUCCCACCAGGACUUGUUAACAGCAAGUGAAGAUGCAGCAGGACACAGAAACUAAGCUGAUUUUUUCAGCUCUUUUCCCCCUGGAUCCUAACCCAAGAAAUGCUUAGGAAGCCCCUGAUCUGGCCCCUGGCACAAGACUAUAAUUUUCCUGCUGAGGAAGCACAAACAUUUCAAUGUUCCCCAUUCCUCUUUGGGAACUUCUGUGCUGGCACUGUGACGAACUCCCUGACCUCUGUGGAGGGACUCACAGCCUCCACUGACAUGGAUUAUGAGAAACUGAUGCCACAUGUGGCAGCAACAAUGGCACAACCUGAAAAGAAAUUCACAGGUUCUCAAACAAACUCUUGGUCUACCAGAGGCAGAUCCUUCAGGAAAGACAGAGCACUGAGAACUUUGGAGUCUCCCAAGUUGUAUCUCCUGACAAUUACCAUCCUGCACAAAGAGACUGCCAUCACAAGCUGUAUCUGCUAUGUUCUGCCAAAACUUUUAGCAGUGAUCUAAAGAUAUCUGAAUCUUUUUCUUAAAACAAAUGAUGCAGUGCAACAGAACCUACACUCAAGCAGUAAGAGUAGCUCAUGUAACUGUGCUGAUGGUGACUUCUGAGUACCCUGGAUGCAAGCUGUAAGUUUGGACUGAGAACAUUUUGCUGGCACAAUAUUAAUGCUAAAAGGAACGCCCAUUGGGACAAAGUCAGUUUAAACAAAGCACAUUUUAAAUUCACAAGGGAGCCAGAUGUUGGAGCCAUUUGAGAAUCCAAGCCAAAAGCUGCCAGCAGUGGAGGAACUGCAUGAGGAUCCCUCAGCAGUAAGGUGAGCACUGGUUUGCUAUCAGACUCAACCCCAGAUUUCCCUCAUCAGACUUUUGCCAAUAUGCACAUUUUGUACAUGAUUUGGUCUGUGGAUUGCAAAUCUGCACUUCGGCUUCACAGAUGGUAGGUUUGGUCUUCUGGAUGGAAAUAUUACAACUUGUCUUGGAAAUUUUAGAUCUGGGCUUCUUUUCAAGAGAAUCUCAAGUGUAUGUUCUGUGCAGAAAUGCAUCUAUUUCAUCAACUAGCCAAGCUUACAAUAUUAAAACUCAGCUCCCGUCUUCCUUCUCUGGCAGAAUGUGGCACUGUUGACAUUCUGUCAAAUCCAAAUGUCCUGGGGUUGUAAAUGCAAACCACAGGAAUAGUGACUUGUUAUAAAUCUUUGUAGAGGUGAGGAAUUCAAAGCCACAAAUACAACUUUUCUAGUUAUGUACUAAAAUAAAACUACAUUUUAUGGGGAGAUAAUAUGUUUG
rnacentral:lncRNA from 1 species